rnacentral:pre_miRNA from 1 species
AGCCUUCUGUAUCCAUGCUGAGAUUCCGUCACACCAGACCACAAGGGCUGAUGAGACUUCCAAGAUAAGUGAAGUG